ensembl:snRNA U5 U5 spliceosomal RNA
AUGCUCUGGUUUCUCUUCAGAUUGUAUGAAUCUUUUGCCUUUUAUUAAAGAUUUCUGUGGAGAGAAACAAUGAUGAGUUCUUACUUUGAAGCAGCUAGAUGAUUUAGUUUG